rnacentral:rRNA from 1 species
AACGAACGCUGGCGGCAUGCCUAACACAUGCAAGUCGAACGAUUGCCUUCGGGUGAUAGUGGCGCACGGGUGCGUAACGCGUGGGAAUCUGCCCUUAGGUUCGGAAUAACAGCUGGAAACGGCUGCUAAUACCGGAUGAUAUCGCGAGAUCAAAGAUUUAUCGCCUGAGGAUGAGCCCGCGUUGGAUUAGGUAGUUGGUGGGGUAAAGGCCUACCAAGCCGACGAUCCAUAGCUGGUCUGAGAGGAUGAUCAGCCACACUGGGACUGAGACACGGCCCAGACUCCUACGGGAGGCAGCAGUGGGGAAUAUCGGACAAUGGGCGCAAGCCUGAUCCAGCAAUGCCGCGUGAGUGAUGAAGGCCCUAGGGUUGUAAAGCUCUUUUACCCGGGAAGAUAAUGACUGUACCGGGAGAAUAAGCCCCGGCUAACUCCGUG